rnacentral:misc_RNA from 1 species
GUCGUGUGCGCUUUGCUUCGCCUCUGCUUCCUGUCACAGAGGUGAAGCGAAGUGCACACGG